GGCUCAGGAUGAACGCUGGCGGCGUGCCUUAAGCAUGCAAGUCGAACGAUUUCAGUAGCAAUAUUGUUUUAGUGGCAGACGGGUGAGUAAUAUACAGGAAUCUACCUCUACGUGGGGGAUAGCUCGCCGAAAGGCGGGGUAAUACCGCAUGUGGUCUCCGGAUCAAAGACCUUAACUGGUCGCGAAGAGAGGAGCCUGUAUCCUAUCAGCUAGUUGGUGAGGUAAUGGCUCACCAAGGCUACGACGGGUAGGGGGUGUGAGAGCACGACCCCCCACAAGGACACUGAGACACGGGUCCUACAUCUACGGAUGGCAGCAACUGGGAAUCUUGCGCAAUGGACGAAAGUCUGACGCAGCGACGCCGCGUGUGGGAAGAAGGCCUUCGGGUCGUAAACCACUGUGGAGGGGGAAUAACAAAAUGAAGGUACCCCUCUAGAAAGCACCUGCUAACUACGUGCCAGAAGCCUCGGUAAUACGUAGGGUGCAAGCGUUAUCCGGAUUUAUUGGGCGUAAAGCGUUCUGUAGGCGGUUUUGUAAGUAUACGGUUAAAGGCUCCGGCUCAACUGGAGAGAUGCUGUAUAAACUACAAUGACUAGAUGGUUAUCGGGAUUAUCGGAAUUCUUGGUGGAGGGGUGAAAUCCGUUGAUAUCAAGAGGAACACCAAAGGCGAAGGCAGAUAAUUAGGUAAUUCAUGACGCUGAUAGACGACAGCUAGGGGAGCGAAAGGGAUUAGAGACCCCUGUAGUCCUAGCCGUAAACGAUGGAUACUAGCUGAUCGGGAUUUCCUGGUCGGCGUAAGCUAACGCGUUAAGUAUCCCGCCUGGGAAGUACGGCCGCAAGGCUAAAACUCA
rnacentral:rRNA from 1 species